AGUGGCAGGCACGUCUUCCGUUUGAGUUCGUAGCCAGUGGGAGUGGCAUGUAAGUGGACUCAGUGACAUGUAAGGGCAGUGCUGUAGCAUCUAGCAGAAGAGGGCAGAAUAGAAGAGGGAGAAAAUGUUAGCUGGCUGGCUUUUCGUUAGCGCUAAAGGGGUACCCCCAUGAGGACACAGGUAAAAUUGGCCUGAGGUGUGGGGACCCCCUCGUCUCUUUACAAUGACAAAUGAGGGCGAGAACCAGCAAAAUGCGAACUGAAGAGACGAGGCCUGAACCGCUUUCUCCCAGAUAAGCUGCUCGAAUUCCCAGAAUAUGAGUCCCUGGCGACUUCACAUCGCUUACUGUAAAAGUGUAAGAGGUUAGGUUACUCCCCAGGCUCUAGAACAAGAGCCCAAUGGCUCCCAGAGAUAGUACGUCCCUCAUCCAAAAGGAAACCUGGCCGGUAGCUUGCCUCCAGCUAAUCUUCCACAUUUCUGCAAACGAGGCGCUUCGGUUUUAUCGUUGCCUUUACAGAGAGCGGAGUCGGAUUUUCAUGAUUCUUGAUGACCUUGUUCUCUCUGCUGUAACAGCCACGGCGAGAGCCAAAACGGACUCGUUCACAGAGAACAAGCAGUUUUGUCUGAUCCUCGUUCUUCGUGUUGAAAUUGCAAUUGUGUUAGUGUGACUGACAGGUUCUCCAAAGAGAUUCAGUGAAAUCCUCCGUCAGGUUCACCAGGAAACAGAAGGUUUCGAGUAGGCGUGUCUGGCUGGUCUCCCCAAAGGGCUCAGUAACAACACAUCAAAAGACUGCUGAAUUCUUAUUUCCCAUCAGAAAAAUAUCAAAGCCAGUCUGAAAUCUGGGAGUGUUUGGAGGGCAGAUGGUAUUAGCCUAGUAGUAAACACAUUUUUGGCUGCUUCUUUUUUUCUCCCUGGUUGCUAUGUUUAAUGUGCUGAGAGAAAGCUGUUUGCUUGCAGAAUCUUAUUAUAGAGCAGAAAUAUACUUGUUCCAGAGAAGAGGAAUUUAAUUGGUUCCAAGUCAAAUGAUGCUAACAGGUGUCACCUCACCAACCCAGGACUUAAAAUGGGUUAUUAUAAAAAGGACGAAUACCUAGUUGUCUGGCUCUCGCUCCCGCCUGUUAUGCAAGACUGCCUGCCCCUGUAAUGUUCCUCCUGAUUAUUUCCAGCAACUUGAGGAGGUGGCUCAUAUGUACCCAUGCACAAGUCCUGUUGGCUACCGCAGCGCCUGCAAUUUUCUUGCUCUUUCGGCUUGAGCUGCUCUCCGCUAUUAUUUGCUACUGAGGCCUGCACCACUUAAUGCAAACUGCAGGUUAAGCCUCCGUUGGUAUUGCUGCUUCGGCCAGGCUCUGUGACACUGAAGGAAGGAACACUGCUGGUUCCCCGGAGGUGCCGAGGACCCGGACUCUGAGCUGUAGUGAAGCAGGAUGGGAAGUAUGUGGGCACAGUGGCCGCGAGAAUGUGUCUCUCACCACAGCGACAUCAUUGAGGUGGACCCCAGCUGCUGUGCUCCGAAAUCAAAAUCACAUUUUAAACAGAAGCUAUGCCUGCCAUGGGCUGCUCCCAGUCAGUUAUAAGCAUGGUGGGGGGGGGGGGGAUACGAAGGCUGACUCCUCCCCGGGAGACGGGGACCGUCUCUGAUGCACCACUGUGACCUGAGGCUUCCUAAUAGCCUGCUCAAACUAUCCUGAGAACUGGAUUGCAGUUCUAGUAUCUGAGAUGCUUCUACCCAACCUCCCUUCCCUUUUUCCCUGUCUCUUUCUCUUGCUGUGUGAUGACUCUCUCAGUUUCCCCUCCUCCCUCUGUAUUUUCUCUCCCAGGCAUUUCCCCUAAUAUAUUUUUCUUCUGCAUGUUUAGUCCCGUCUUGGCAUCUGCUUCUCAUGGGACCAGCGAAUCUGUGUUAUGUGCAGUGGAAUGACUAUUCUCCCUGUUGCUGAAACACAUGUAUCUUCUUGACCACCUCCCUUCAGAGGAGUGUUCUAUCCCAGGCGGUGUCUAGAUCCUUUGGAGUAGAUUUGACCUUGACCUCAACCUCCUCCACUCAUGUUUGCUGGACAUGCUCAGACAUGUCCGAGUCUCAGUAGGAGAUGCAAUAUGACGGAGGCUUGGGCUGAGCCCCUUGCUCUACAUUCUGGAGCAUCUAUUAUGAUACUUUGUGGGUUCGAUGUGUGGCUAGAGAACAAAUAAAUACAAGAAACUA